rnacentral:rRNA from 1 species
GCCGGUGACAAACCGGAGGAAGGUGGGGAUGACGUCAAAUCAUCAUGCCCCUUAUGACCUGGGCUACACACGUGCUACAAUGGACGAUACAAACGGUUGCCAACUCGCGAGAGGGAGCUAAUCCGAUAAAGUCGUUCUCAGUUCGGAUUGUAGGCUGCAACUCGCCUACAUGAAGCCGGAAUCGCUAGUAAUCGCGGAUCAGCAUGCCGCGGUGAAUACGUUCCCGGGCCUUGUACACACCGCCCGUCACACCACGAGAGUUUGUAACACCCGAAGUCGGUGAGGUAACCUUUUGGAGCCAGCCGCCGAAGGUGGGAUAGAUGAUUGGGGUGAAGUCGUAACAAGGUAGCCGUAUCGGAAGGUGCGGC